rnacentral:rRNA from 1 species
UACGGAAGGCAGCAGUGGGGAAUAUUGCACAAUGGGCGCAAGCCUGAUGCAGCCAUGCCGCGUGUAUGAAGAAGGCCUUCGGGUUGUAAAGUACUUUCAGUCGUGAGGAAGGUGUUAAGGUUAAUAACCUUAGCAAUUGACGUUAGCAACAGAAGAAGCACCGGCUAACUCCGUGCCAGCAGCCGCGGUAAUACGGAGGGUGCGAGCGUUAAUCGGAAUUACUGGGCGUAAAGGGCACGCAGGCGGUUAAUUAAGUUGGAUGUGAAAUCCCCGGGCUUAACCUGGGAAUGGCAUUCAAGACUGGUUAGCUAGAGUCUUGUAGAGGGGGUAGAAUUCCAUGUGUAGCGGUGAAAUGCGUAGAGAUGUGGAGGAAUACCGGUGGCGAAGGCGGCCCCUGGACAAGACUGACGCUCAUGUGCGAAAGCGUGGGGAGCAAACAGGAUUAGAUACC